rnacentral:rRNA from 1 species
AGACCGGCGCACGGGUGAGUAACGCGUAUGCAACCUACCUUAUACAGGGGAAUAGCCCGAAGAAAUUCGGAUUAAUGCUCCAUGGUUUAUCGAUAUGGCAUCGUAUUGAUAAUAAAGAUUUAUCGGUAUAAGAUGGGCAUGCGUAUCAUUAGCUAGUUGGUGUGGUAACGGCAUACCAAGGCAACGAUGAUUAGGGGUCCUGAGAGGGAGAUCCCCCACACUGGUACUGAGACACGGACCAGACUCCUACGGGAGGCAGCAGUGAGGAAUAUUGGUCAAUGGAGGCAACUCUGAACCAGCCAUGCCGCGUGCAGGAUGACGGUCCUAUGGAUUGUAAACUGCUUUUGUACAGGAAGAAACCUCCCUACGAGUAGGGACUUGACGGUACUGUAAGAAUAAGGAUCGGCUAACUCCGUGCCAGCAGCCGCGGUAAUACGGAGGAUCCGAGCGUUAUCCGGAAUUAUUGGGUUUAAAGGGUUCGUAGGCGGCUUUAUAAGUCAGUGGUGAAAUUUCCUAGCUUAACUAGGACACUGCCAUUGAUACUGCAGAGCUUGAAUAGUAUGGAAGUAACUAGAAUAUGUAGUGUAGCGGUGAAAUGCUUAGAUAUUACAUGGAAUACCAAUUGCGAAGGCAGGUUACUACGUACUUAUUGACGCUGAUGAACGAAAGCGUGGGGAGCGAACAGGAUUAGAUACCCUGGUAGUCCACGCCGUAAACGAUGGAUACUAGCUGUUCGGUUUUCGGACUGAGUGGCUAAGCGAAAGUGAUAAGUAUCCCACCUGGGGAGUACGUUCGCAAGAAUGAAACUCAAAGGAAUUGACGGGGGCCCGCACAAGCGGUGGAGCAUGUGGUUUAAUUCGAUGAUACGCGAGGAACCUUACCAGGGCUUAAAUGUAGAUUGACAGAUUUGGAAACAGAUUUUUCUUCGGACAAUUUACAAGGUGCUGCAUGGUUGUCGUCAGCUCGUGCCGUGAGGUGUCAGGUUAAGUCCUAUAACGAGCGCAACCCCUAUUGUUAGUUACCAGCGCGUAGUGGCGGGGACUCUAGCAAGACUGCCGGUGCAAACCGUGAGGAAGGUGGGGAUGACGUCAAAUCAUCACGGCCCUUACGUCCUGGGCUACACACGUGCUACAAUGGCAAGUACAGAAAGCAGCUACCUGGCAACAGGAUGCGAAUCUCCAAAGCUUGUCUCAGUUCGGAUUGGAGUCUGCAACUCGACUCUAUGAAGCUGGAAUCGCUAGUAAUCGGAUAUCAGCCAUGAUCCGGUGAAUACGUUCCCGGGCCUUGUACACACCGCCCGUCAAGCCAUGGAAGCUGGGGGUACCUGAAGUCGGUGAC